UACGACCGCAUCACGUUGAAAAACCGGUUCCUGUACGAUCACGGAAGUUAAGCAAUAUCUAGCCUGGCCAAUACCUAGAUGGGUAACCGUUUGGGAAUACCACGUGUUGCAA